CCCUUAGAUGUUCUGGGCCGCACGCGCGCUACACUGAUGCAUUCAACGAGUUUCUUCCUGGUCCGAGAGGAAUGGGUAACCUUUUGAAAGUGCAUCGUGAUAGGGAUAGACUAUUGCAAUUAUUGGUCUUCAACUAGGAAUUCCUAGUAGACGUAGUUCAUCAGACUGCAUCGAUUACGUCCCUGCCCUUUGUACACACCGCCCGUCGCUCCUACCGAUUGAAUGCUCAGGUGAGCCAUUCGGACCUUCAUCAUGCCGGUUUCCGGUUUUGAUGAGGGAAAGUCUUGCGAACCUUAUCAUUUAGAGGAAGGAGAAGUCGUAACA
rnacentral:rRNA from 1 species